AGAAGAUUUCCAUUCCUCUGCUAUCUUUACUCAGCCCCACACCCAUGCUUGGCUAGGCCUUCACCUCUCACCCUACAACUAUACCUGACAAUAAAUCUGGACUCACUCUCAAGCCUUCUAUUCUUCUUAUUCCCCUCUAAACCUUACUCUCAAACUGUAUCCCAGCUCCCUUGCACCCAUCAUCUACUUAAGUGAAAUAAACUGCUAUAAAUCUUUCCUGAACAUCCUGUGUCCCAACACCUAAAAGAGCGCAUGAAACACACCGGCCAAUCAAGAGGGAGUCGUGGAGUCUCUUCUACACUUUGGUGGAAUAUAAAAAGAAUGCUUAAGGGAGCAGUCAUUUAAUAUUAUGAUUAACUUGGCAUUAUCAAGAUCUUCCCAAUAACACACCUAAGGAAUUCAAACCAAAGGUGGUGGCUCUGGUCCACCUUGGUGACCUCGAAGAAGCAGGAGAUGUGAGAGAUGCCGGAGCCUCACUCACUCAACACUCCACCUUCUGAGUGGUCUCAGGCUCCUUUUUUCGUUUUCCUUCCCUCUGUUCUCCAUACCCUUCUACCCUCUCAGGCACUGUUCUCCAGAGAUUCUAAAUCCUCUGUUUCCCUCUCCCAGGGUCCUGCUGAGCUCCGGGAUAGUGCCCCAGUUUUAAAGUUGCUUAUGUAAAUUUCCGGAUGUCUUGUCUCUCUGAAAGGCAGGAGCUGUUGGGGAGUAGAAGGGACACAAGAUCUGGUUUCCAGUCUCAGUUCUGGGAGUCACUAACUCUGGGAUUCUUGUGAACUUCCGUUUCCUCACAAAGGCAUCUGUAAAAUGAAGAGAAUAAUAACUACUUCACAACUGUG